UACGUAGGGAGCAAGCGUUGUCCGGAAUCAUUGGGCGUAAAGCGCGCGUAGGCGGCCUCAUAAGUCCGUUGUGAAAGUCAAAGGCUCAACCUUUGAAAGCCGAUGGAUACUGUGAGGCUAGAGUCCGGAAGAGGCGAGUGGAAUUCCUGGUGUAGCGGUGGAAUGCGCAGAUAUCAGGAGGAACACCUAUGGCGAAGGCAGCUCGCUGGGACGUUACUGACGCUGAGACGCGAAAGCGUGGGGAGCAAACAGG
rnacentral:rRNA from 1 species